rnacentral:lncRNA from 1 species
CCGCCCGCAGGGGCCGUAGGGUGGGCCGGCGCGUGCUUGUGCGCUUUCCCGCCUCAGCGAGAGCAGGAAAAGAGCCGGCGAGCGGCGGGAAGGAACGCAUGGGCCCGCUCAAGUGUCACUUGAGGAUUAUAAGCAACUGCUAGAUUCUGGUCUCCGCACACUGCUAUGGUCCCAUGAACAGCCAGUCCAACAGUGGGACUUCAAAGCACUGGUAAGAACUGAGAUGAAGUGAGGCAGGCCUGUGUUUGCCUUCCUCCCUCCGCUGCCCAGCUUUCUCAUUUUUCAGUGUGGGCUCGGCUGGCCUGUGUGGGUACGCCUGGCUGUGUGACUUGCUCCCACUGAAGCUCUGAUGUCCAACUCUCCAUUCAUGGGCUUGUUUAUAAUUAGGUUGUGUUCUUUGGGGAGUGUGGUUACUCCCUGUAGACCAAACUUAGCUGGCCGGUAGCUUUGACUAGAAAUGACUGCUUAGAGGAAGCAGAGAGAAAAGCUAGAAAUAAGGAGGAGGAGCCAGUGAUCAUGCAUAUGGACUUGGAGUAAGCAGAGCUGGAGGUUUUCAGGCUAGAGGAUAUACAGUCAUGAUUGUC